rnacentral:rRNA from 1 species
GAUGAACGCUGGCGGCGUGCCUAAUACAUGCAAGUCGAGCGAACGGACGAGAAGCUUGCUUCUCUGAUGUUAGCGGCGGACGGGUGAGUAACACGUGGAUAACCUACCUAUAAGACUGGGAUAACUUCGGGAAACCGGAGCUAAUACCGGAUAAUAUUUUGAACCGCAUGGUUCAAAAGUGAAAGACGGUCUUGCUGUCACUUAUAGAUGGAUCCGCGCUGCAUUAGCUAGUUGGUAAGGUAACGGCUUACCAAGGCAACGAUGCAUAGCCGACCUGAGAGGGUGAUCGGCCACACUGGAACUGAGACCCGGUCCAGACUCCUACGGGAGGCAGCAGUAGGGAAUCUUCCGCAAUGGGCGAAAGCCUGACGGAGCAACGCCGCGUGAGUGAUGAAGGUCUUCGGAUCGUAAAACUCUGUUAUUAGGGAAGAACAUAUGUGUAAGUAACUGUGCACAUCUUGACGGUACCUAAUCAGAAAGCCACGGCUAACUCCGUG